CGGCUUAAUCGUGAAGAGUACGAAGGUAUAUUUUUUAAUGAAAUGAACAAAUUCACAGAAAAUUACAAGUUAUAACGUAUAUUUAAAUAUCAUUAUUUUCCUAAAGGUAUAUCGGAAUGUAAUGAAUGCAUUUUUUAGUUAGAUUGUUUUAAACAAAAUUUCUAAUUCGAAACAUUCUUUCAUUAUUUAAGUAGCUUUCACUAUUAAACCGACAUUGUGUUCAAAUGCUAUUUAAACCGAUUUGACAAAUGUAUUUCGUAGAAAAACUAUUAAAGGUGAAUAAAUUGCAAGUGAAAGAGAGAGAGAGAGAGAGAGAGAGAGAGAGAGAGAGAGAGAGAGAGAGAGAGAGAGAGAGAGAGAGAGAGAGUGAGAGAAAGAAUGAGAGAGAUUUUGAUGAUAGGCGUAGAAUCAUAGAAUCUAAUAAAAAAGAAAUAAAAAAAAUUCUUAACGUUUAAAACCUUCGUUUAAACGUAUAUAUAAAAUCAAUCAAACGAACUUUUUGUUAAAUAUUUUUAUCGAAAGGAUACUUCAUAUAUCCAUUCAAUCUCAAAGAUAUUCUACAAUAAAUGAAUGUCUUUAACGAUAAUACAUCGACACUGUAAUAUUUAAUAUAGUUACAUUAAACUUUUUCGUAAAACAAACGGGCAUGCAGUUCUCUAUUAUAAAUUUAUAAUUUAGCGAGGAUCUUGUGACGUCAUUUUUUGGAUAAGUUUCAUAAAAGAACUGUAUAGUGGAGCUAGUGUCUAAUACUUACAAAACUGGUUGCGCCUAUGAGGCAUCGUUUUAUUAAGCGUAGUUGUGUAUUCUAAUAUCAUUCGUGUGAACGUUAAGGUUAGAAAAAUGGUACAAAGGAAAAUAUUUGUGCGAAAUCAUGCACUUGGUUACGUUAGUAAUCACAUAUUCAUAGUAACUAAAUAUGUUCAAAGAAGAAAAGAAAAGCUUUUGAUUAUUUACGUUAGAAAAAAAUUUUAUAAUUAUGGAUGAGCACACUUUACCUUUCUCAGUGUGUCUGGAACUCAUCCUAAUGAUAUAUGUUGUUUAUCAGCAGAUACCUGCCGCAUUUAUACAAUUGCAGAAAAUAUUGUAUAUGCAUGGAAAAGAGAUCACAUUUACUCUUAGUCGAUAAGAAUAACUUUAAAGUUUGAAACGUAAAAAUGGAAGAAUUACUUAAAAAAUUAAACUUUUCUAAUGAAAUAUUUCAAAUAAUGAUGUUGAUAUAUCCUUUUAAUUAUAUGGACGAACUUUGUAGUUAAUAGAGAUGUUUAUGAUUAUGAAAUUUGAAAAUAAUGAAGAUAAUUUAUAUGUUCAAGGAAUAGAAUAGGACUAUCAUAACUUUAGAACAAAUAACUAUGAUAAAUGUGCUAUGGGUCUAUAUGGUGGAAGAAUUAUAUUGCAUAAUCUUAAAUUAGAUAUAAUUUAAUAGAAUAAUCUUAAAUAGAAAUAAUCUUUUAAUUAAUUUAAAAUUAGGUUGCUAUGAUAUGAUUACAUCUAGUAGCGACAAUUAUUCUAUUAAAGCCACAGAAAAUUUAAACAGAUAUAUUGUAUUUUAGAAUCGGAAAAAGGUCAAAUUAAACAAAGUUCAGUUUGAUGCUAUGAGUUUGAAGUAUUUAUCAAAUGAACUGAUCUUUGCCUGAUUCUUUAAAAUUAUGAGUUUUUGAAUUAUUGAUGAAAAUUUCUUUAUGAUUAUGAGAAGGCCAUUUCAAGCCACCGAAAAUAAUACUUUUUUAUAGCAAAUUUAAUACCUUAAUAAAUUUAAGAAAAAAUUCUGCUGGAAAACUAAAAAAAGGAACAGAGCUAUAUAGUAACUUCUCAUUCUGGUCUAGACAUAGUUACUACAUUGUCUUAUGAUUUAUUAAAGAUGGAUGAUCAUAAAUUAUUAUCAAAAAGGUUUAAAAAUAAUCGUAAUGCAAAUUGUACUUUACCAAAUGUGAAAAUUUCGUUGUUAUUGGUUAUGAUAUUGAUUAUGUAGAUGGAUUUAUUGUAUUUAUAGAAUCAGUUAUAGCAAUGAAUGCGAAGUGGAUAAAGAUUCGAUAAGGGACAUAGUGAUAAAUGUUUUAAAUGAAACAAUUGUUGCUAGAAAAGAUUGCUUAAUAAAAUUUUAUGACUUCAAACCUAAAAAUGACACACACAGGGCAAGAAGAAUUACUAUAACAUUACCUGAAUUAAUAGAAUGACUAUGGUAUUACAAUAUAAAUUACAAUGAAAUGAAUAUGAUUUUAUAUUGUUGCAUUAAAAGAUUUCGCAAUGAUUUUAAUUGAUUUAAAUACGAAAACAAUAAUGAGAUAUUCCUGUGGGCAUAAAGAACAAUUAAUAAAUGCAGCAUUUGAUACGAGAUGGUUAAUCAUAUCUUCUAUGGAUUAUACAAUAAAGGGUUAGGAUAUCUUAUCUUCUCAUUUAACAGAUGUAUUUCAAGUUUCAGAUGCAUGUAUAUCUUUACACUUCGCUUCUACUGGAGAAUUAUUUACCACGGCCCAUAUGUGUAGUAUGAGAAUAUAUUUGUAGUCGGAUCAUAUAAUUUAUUCUCAAGUUUCGCUACAAACUAUAAAAGAAGAAGAUGCGAUAUAUAUAAUUAAUUCUCUCAAUUCUGUCAUGGAAAUUACUCAAUAAGACAAUGAAGAUCUUAAUAAAUAUGAAUCUAAUAAAUACGAAUCAUAUUAUCAGAUUGAUAAAGAUGUCAAGAACUCACAACAACAAUUUGAACAACCACAUAGAGAGUGAAGCCUAUGUUCUUAUCUCUUUUUUGUUGGAUCCUUUAACUCUUUCUUAUCCAUAUAAAUAUUUUUAAGUAAUUGUGAAUUUCUAUUAUAUUAUCAUACUUUUUAUUAUUUUUAAGAAAAGUUUUAGUGACAAUAUAGUUGAACAGUACAAAAAUUAAAAUAAAAAGACUUAUUUCGCAUAUUUACAA